GACGAACGCUGGCGGCGUGCUUAACACAUGCAAGUCGAACGGAAAGGCCCUGCUUGCAGGGUACUCGAGUGGCGAACGGGUGAGUAACACGUGGGUGAUCUGCCCUGCACUUCGGGAUAAGCCUGGGAAACUGGGUCUAAUACCGGAUAGGAGCCAUUUUGAGUGUGAUGGUUGGAAAGUUUUUUCGGUGUAGGAUGAGCUCGCGGCCUAUCAGCUUGUUGGUGGGGUAAUGGCCUACCAAGGCGGCGACGGGUAGCCGGCCUGAGAGGGUGGACGGCCACAUUGGGACUGAGAUACGGCCCAGACUCCUACGGGGGGCAGCAGUGGGGAAUAUUGCACAAUGGGCGCAAGCCUGAUGCAGCGACGCCGCGUGGGGGAUGACGGCCUUCGGGUUGUAAACUCCUUUCGCUAGGGACGAAGCUUUUUGUGACGGUACCUAGAUAAGAAGCACCGGCUAACUACGUG
rnacentral:rRNA from 1 species